rnacentral:lncRNA from 1 species
ACAAGAAGACUGCGAGUAGAUGUUAGAUGCUUUAUAGUUUCCUUAAUUUUUCUCAUUUUUCGUAUUUUUUUCAGAGAACUUAUUCCGUGAUGUUGUUUAGUACUUUUAAGUUAUUGUGUAAGGGAUGUUAACCUUAAUUUUUUAUUUCGCUUCCGCACUCAGAUUAUUAUGUGUAUUUCCUUUUGAAUUUUUGUGACCGUUACAGUCGCCCUAUACUCCCGAUGCUUGUAUCUAUAUAUUCUAAAGAAUAACGAUCAUAAAAAGAGCAUGCCUACUUGUGAAAGUCACCGAACCUAGGUAAGUGGAAGUAUUAAAUUCUAGGAU